GAGCUGGUGGGGGAGUCCUCCGCAUGGGGCGUGUUCCGGAGCCCCGGGCUGGUGCAGCUGGAGAUCGGGCUCCACAGGCCAGGCUCCGCACAGACCCAGGAACCUGUACUUACGGGUGUGAGAGGACGGUGUGGGGACCCCCUCCGUGGCCAGCGACAGAGCGAGACACGGGCUUUGGGGAAGGAAAACCCCUGGAUGGCUGCCGGGAUCCAGAGGCGGGGCGGGGGCUGGAGGCUGCCUGGGGGGCGGUACGGAGCCCACCUGGGAUCAGGGCCCUCAAGGAGCCCUUCCUGGUGACCCGAGUCUUUCCCAGACCUGAAAUCAGGGGCCUGGUGCAAGAGUGGGGUGCCCGGGCUCUGCCGCAGUCAGCAGCCACUUUUCCUCGACGGCCCAGGCUCUCGGUCUGUGUGGUGAGCCCCGCACGCCCUGCCUGCCCCUCCGUGGGGCUUCAGGGCUCAGGUGCCGCCGUGGGGCGUGGGCAGCCCACGUGUCCAAGUGGACGAGCGCCUUGCACUCGGGGCUGAGCUGGAUGCCGGGGAGCAGGGCACGGCUGGCGCUGAGAUUGGGUCAGGAACCCCCAGGUCAGCGUGGCCCGGGCCUGCCCACAGCCCCGAAUGAGAACGAGAAGCCGGACGGGAGGCGGGUGUCCCUGAGUCCCAGCCCUGGCCCCGUCCCACAGGCGCAGGCCGUGGCAAAGCUCCCCCGCCCCUGAGUCUGCGCAGGGAUGAGCUCCCUGCCACACUCCCCCCCUGCGGAGGCCUGGGGCCAGACAAGCCCGCUCCCCUCAGCUCCGGCCACAGUCCCGAGGGACUAGCACCGCGGGGUCUCCUGGGCGCCUCGGGCAGCGGGGGACGGCCCUACGGGGAGUAAAAGUGCCCGGAGUCCUGGCUGUGCUCCCUCAGGUCCGGGUGGGGGCAGAGCUCGAGGUGGGGCCUCCCAGGCAGAGGAUGAGGCUCGGAUCCGCCUUGGCGGUGUGGACCGGACCCUCUAAGAACACACUGGGCCCUGGUGACCAGGGACCGGAGAGCUAAGACCAAGGCCACUGGGGAGGAUUCAGCGGCCUCUGUGGUCCCGCACGCGUGGAGAGGAGCCGACAGGCCUCCCGCUCGCUCCGCGGGUGCUGUCCUCGCGGCCUCUCCCAGCGUCUCCCAGCCACCAGCCCCACGUUUGGUCAAGGCAGUCCCAGGCGGGCCCCCCAUGAGAAUGGGCUGCGGGGACCGGGUGGGUGACAGCCUGAAGAGCCAGAUGAGGUUAGGAGCCAGUGACCCCCUCCCCGCCUCCCACGCGCACACUUCUCUGCAGGAGCAGCUGGGCCCGGAGGGUGCCCAGAACCCGGCGUUCAGCGCCUCUGCCGGGCCUGCGUGUCCAGGGGCCACGCGGUCCCCUGUGCCAGCCCCUGUGCCCCAGCCUGCCCUUCCCCAGACUCUGUCCUUGCUCCUGGGAGGCCCAGGCCCUGGAUAGCGCUCACUGCCCCGGGCCUGCACCCCAGGUGACGGGGAGCCUUGCCAAGAAGCUGGGGUGGGAAAGUGGGGACCGAGGAGUGAGGGGCUCCACGGGAGAAGCCCCCUCUGUCACAGAGGCGCCCCGAGCUCUUCCCCUUCCCCUGAGGCUUUGGGGUAGACAGGAGAGGGCCCUGGAGGACACGCUGGGCGGGGAGACACACUGCCAGGCUGCACCCUGGGGUACUCCCCCGCCUGCCUUGGCCUCUGGGGGACUGGGGACGGAGCAGGAAGGGCGUGGCCAGGUGGCUUUGGGUGGGAGAGGCCUGCAGAGCCAAGGAGGCUGGUGCCCCCGGGCAGCUCGGGCUCCCAGCGGUGAAGCGGGGUACCGGCUGACCUACCUCAGAGGGGCUCACAUGAGACGUGCACCUGGUUCCCAGUUCCCAGGCCUGGGGCCGGGGGGCACCCGUGCUAAGGUCGGAAAUCCACGGAGGCUCCAGAGCUCCGCCACAGCGUUGUGGGCAAGUGACAGAGUCAGGAAGCCAGAUGCUGUCACCGGGAGCUGCCAGGGACCGAUAAGGUGGCCGGGCCACCACCCGGGGCGACAGGACCCCUAGCCUUCGCCUCGGCUGCAAUCUGGGGACCCCUAAGGGGUGAGGUCGCCUGCCGGUGGGACCUGGGGGACUCAGGGGUUCCGACCCUCAGGCUGAGACAGUGUCCCCAGGGGGCAGAGCCCAUGUGGCCCGAGCACCAGGCUCCUGGCGCCCCGCAGGGUACAGCCGGGGACCCUCUGGGGAACGGAGCAACCCCUGCCUCUGCGCAAGCUGAGGGCGGGCGGGCGGGCGCCCGAGGGCCCUUCCCUGGGGAGAGCCGGGUCACCCCCGCCGGCCUGCCAUUCGGACAGCUGGUGGCGGGCACUGCCCCAGGCGGGGCGCGGGUCACAGCCUCCUUCUGCCACAGACUGACCGGGACAGUGACUGCGGACCGGGACGGCCAGAAACCAAGACGCAGCCAGGGCUCCCUGGGGAGGGGGAGCCCCGAAGCUCUGAGCCCCCACGCCGGGCGGUGCAGUGGAGGCCUCCCGGUCCCCUGCCCGCCACAGGGCCCGAGGUGCCAAGGUGGCACCAGCUUCCUGCCUUUCGGCGGAGGAGGUCACCUGCCCUUUCCCGGCGGGCCCCGCUGGCUCGGAACGGAGCUGGGCCGGGAGCGGCUGGGGUGCCGGGGUCCUGCUGGGGCCGGUCGGUCCACCCGCUGCUCUGGGGCCAGCCGAACGGUGGCCACGGACAUUCCGCUGGACUUGAGCGCCGGGCACCGGGCUUCAGGCUUCAGAGGGAGUUCUGAUUCACUUCCGGCCCGGGUCACUCGAGGCCCCGCUCCACAGACCGGGAGGCUGCCCAGAGGACAGUAACGCGCCCGCAGCCACACAGCAAGCCGGCAGCUAAGCCCCGGGGCCCCCCAACCUGUCCCGGAAAGGGGGCUUCUCGCGGUUUCUGAGCUGGACAGAUUGGCCAUCUCCGCGGCCACGGGCAAGGCCGGCUUGGCGGUGACCCGCAGGAGGCCACCUGGCCAGCUCCCCCUUUCCGACCCCCCCAGCCCGCUGUGCUUCCUGCCCCACAGGGCUCUGCAGCUGGGCCCGACGCCUCUAGAGCUGGAACCCCCGCCCCGCCGGCGAGGACUUCACCGAGGCAGAGUUUUGCAGAGGACAGAACGCGGCUCACGCUGCUCCCCCCGAGUCUCCUGCGGAGGGUUCUCCGCCCGGCGCGGGGCUCUGCGGGGGGGGGGGCUGCGGGGGGCCGAGUUCCGGGGGGUCGAGCCCACCUGGGCUGCGGCUGAAGUCUCCCCAGGGCUGAGACUGGACUCAGAGCGAACCUGGUGGCCGUCAACUGCCCUGUUUCUCAUGGUGCAAAAGGCUGCAUUUCGGUGACCGCAGGCGCAGCCGACGAUUCCCGGGCGGUGCAACCGGAUGGGGCGGUUCGGGUCACCCGGGAGGUCCCCGGGAGGACACGCAGACCCGACCUGUCGGGUCCCCCCGUUGCUCGCUGGCCUCAGGCGCCGAGAACCUUCCGCGGAGGCCGCCCCCGCCCGCGUGCCCCUGCACCCCACGCAGAUUCUCCGGGUCCGUCGGGAGCCCGACUCAUCUGCCACGGUCUCCCUCAGCGUCGCCUCCUGCAGUCCCCGUGCACUGUCCCCACCCUGCAGGUCUCCGGCCUCGGCCCUCCUCUCCAUGCCCUGUAGACAAGGCCCACCGCUGCUCCAUGUGGCAGCCUCCUGCUGUGUCACAGGAAGCUGGGAGGUGUGAGACCAACUAUGGGUUAGCGGUUGUUCAAGUCUUAGGAGUGCCCGGCUGGCUUGCUCGGCGGGCAGGCAACUCUGGAUGUCGGAGUUGUGCCCUGGAGGCCCACGCCGGGCGUAGAUUACGCCGUAAGCAGCACUAAAAGGGCGCCUGAGUGGCUCAGCUGGUGAAGUGUGAUCCCAGGUCACACUUGCAUCGGGCUCUCUGCUCAGUGGGGAGUCGGCUUCACCCUCUCCCUCCGCCACUCUCCCUGCUUCUGCUCUCUCUUG